rnacentral:rRNA from 1 species
UGGGGAAUAUUGCACAAUGGGCGCAAGCCUGAUGCAGCCAUGCCGCGUGUAUGAAGAAGGCCUUCGGGUUGUAAAGUACUUUCAGCGGGGAGGAAGGGAGUAAAGUUAAUACCUUUGCUCAUUGACGUUACCCGCAGAAGAAGCACCGGCUAACUCCGUGCCAGCAGCCGCGGUAAUACGGAGGGUGCAAGCGUUAAUCGGAAUUACUGGGCGUAAAGCGCACGCAGGCGGUUUGUUAAGUCAGAUGUGAAAUCCCCGGGCUCAACCUGGGAACUGCAUCUGAUACUGGCAAGCUUGAGUCUCGUAGAGGGGGGUAGAAUUCCAGGGAUAGCGGUGAAAUGCGUAGAGAUCUGGAGGAAUACCGGUGGCGAAGGCGGCCCCCUGGACGAAGACUGACGCUCAGGUGCGAAAGCGUGGGGAGCAAACAGG